GAUGAACGCUGGCGGCGUGCCUAAUACAUGCAAGUCGAGCGAACAGACGAGGAGCUUGCUCCUCUGACGUUAGCGGCGGACGGGUGAGUAACACGUGGAUAACCUACCUAUAAGACUGGGAUCACUUCGGGAAACCGGCGCUAAUACCGGAUAAUAUAUUGAACCGCAUAGUUCAAUAGUGAAAGACGGUUUUGCUGUCACUUAUAGCUGGAUCCGCGCCGCAUUAGCUAGUUGGUAAGGUAACGGCUUACCAAGGCAACGAUGCGUAGCCGACCUGAGAGGGUGAUCGGCCACACUGGAACUGAGACACGGUCCAGACUCCUACGGGAGGCAGCAGUAGGGAAUCUUCCGCAAUGGGCGAAAGCCUGACGGAGCAACGCCGCGUGAGUGAUGAAGGUCUUCGGAUCGUAAAACUCUGUUAUUAGGGAAGAACAAAUGUGUAAGUAACUAUGCACGUCUUGACGGUACCUAAUCAGAAAGCCACGGCUAACUACGUG
rnacentral:rRNA from 1 species